rnacentral:rRNA from 1 species
CUCUGAUCAGCCAUGCCGCGUGUAGGAAGACUGCCCUAUGGGUUGUAAACUACUUUUAUAGAGGAAGAAACAGUAUUACGUGUAAUACUCUGACGGUACUCUACGAAUAAGGAUCGGCUAACUCCGUGCCAGCAGCCGCGGUAAUACGGAGGAUCCAAGCGUUAUCCGGAAUCAUUGGGUUUAAAGGGUCCGUAGGCGGGUUUGUAAGUCAGUGGUGAAAGUUUUCGGCUCAACCGGAAAAUUGCCAUUGAUACUGCAAGUCUUGAAUUAUUGUGAAGUGGUUAGAAUAUGUAGUGUAGCGGUGAAAUGCAUAGAUAUUACAUAGAAUACCGAUUGCGAAGGCAGA